CCCAGAUACAAUCUUGUACAACAACAUUAUCCAAUGGGUGUUGGCUGAGCUUCCUCAGGUACUUUGUCACAGCACCAGUCAAUACACAGCCAUUCCGCCUAAGAGAAGGUUAAGAAGAUAAUUGGCAAUGCCGUCAGGAGGUUUGGCUGUCUUCUGAAAUUCCCUGGGCCAGUGAUGGGUGACAAUAACCACCCAGUUGCACAAACUUCAAAUCCAGGUUUCUGUUAAAGUGCAUUCUUGAUGAAGUUGCUGAAGUGUUCAAUUAACCAUUCCUCAGACUACAAUACAUCUGAACUUCCAGGAAUAUGACUUACUAAAAAAAAAGUGGAAAGCUUUUCAGAUCGAUGUCAUACAUUUAAUUAUCUCAUAUCCUGAUCAAGAACUUCCCUUACAAGUGUAGGAGACUGUUGAGGCUCACAUUGUGCUUGCUGAACAAUCAUACGUGGUGUGCAAAGCAGAGAGAGAUUAAGCGACAUACCCUCUUGAUGUACUGUACCACCUCCUGGAUGUAUGACCGGAUCAUCUCUGUCUUUUCCCUAAGAGCAAAUGACAACUAGAUCAUUAUAUGAACUCAUCCAGCAUCAACAAAGAGAACCUAUGGAAACUUUUGCGAUUACUCAGACAGCGGUAGUAAUUGGACUCAACCCUUCUUACUGGAGCACCACGUAGACAGCGUGGGCUUCCUAUGAAAGACCCCACUGCUGUUCACCCGUGAUGGAGGCUCUCAAAUACAACUGGAAACUUAGGAAACACAGAGAAGAAAAAAAUCUAGCUGUACUCCAAAUCUAGAGAUGAACCACUGCCAACUGUCAAGUCUGGAAAUACAGCUUUCUAACAGAAUGGAAAUGAGCUUUAACUGUGCUACUUACCCACAGUUUGAAAAUUAAGUGCAACCAUUUGGCAACCAGCAUUCCAGAAGAGCUGAGGCAUGUAGUUGGAUGAAUCCACACGGGUUCCUUUUGGAUAUAUCCUGCUGAGCUGCAUUUUGUUAUAUCUGGACCAUCAUGUUAAGUAGUGAAUACAAUUAUAAAAAUAAUUAGCCCAUACCAUUAA